rnacentral:rRNA from 1 species
GACAGAGGGUGGCAACGUUGUUCGGAAUUACUGGGCGUAAAGCGUGUGUAGGCGGCUCUGCAAGUCGGAUGUGAAAGCCCCGGGCUCAACCUGGGAAGUGCACUCGAAACUGCUGAGCUUGAGUAUCGGAGAGGUUGGUGGAAUUCUCGGUGGAGAGGUGAAAUUCGUAGAUAUCGAGGGGAACACCAGUGGCGAAGGCGGCCAACUGGACGAAUACUGACGCUGAGACACGAAAGCGUGGGGAGCAAACAGG